rnacentral:rRNA from 1 species
AGCGAACGCUGGCGGCAGGCCUAACACAUGCAAGUCGAACGAACCUUUCGGGGUUAGUGGCGGACGGGUGAGUAACACGUGGGAACGUGCCUUUAGGUUCGGAAUAACUCAGGGAAACUUGUGCUAAUACCGAAUGUGCCCUUCGGGGGAAAGAUUAAUCGCCCUUAGAGCGGCCGGCGUCUGAUUAGCUAGUUGGUUGAGGUAAUGGCACACCAAGGCGACAUUCAGUAGCUGGUCUGAGAGGAUGAUCCGACACAUUGGGACGGAGACGCAGCCCAAAAUCCUACGGGAGGCAGGAGUGGGGAAUCUUGCGCAAUGGGGGAAAGCCUGACGGAGCCAUGCCGGGUGAAUGAUGUAGGUCUGAGGAUUGUAAAAUUCUUUCACCGGGGACGAUAAUGACGGUACCCGGAGAAGAAGCCCCGGCUAACUUCGUG